rnacentral:rRNA from 1 species
UACGUAGGGGGCGAGCGUUGUCCGGAAUUACUGGGCGUAAAGAGCUCGUAGGUGGUUUGUCGCGUUGUCCGUGAAAACUCACAACUCAAUUGUGGGCGUGCGGGCGAUACGGGCAGACUGGAGUACUGCAGGGGAGACUGGAAUUCCUGGUGUAGCGGUGGAAUGCGCAGAUAUCAGGAGGAACACCGGUGGCGAAGGCGGGUCUCUGGGCCGAUACUGACGCUGAGGAGCGAAAGCAUGGGUAGCGAACAGG